rnacentral:rRNA from 1 species
GUCGAGAAUCUUUCACAAUGGGGGCAACCCUGAUGGAGCGACGCCGCGUGGAGGAUAAGGUCUUCGGAUUGUAAACUCCUGUCAUGCGUGAACAAGGUUGCUUGGUUAAUACCUGGGCAAAUUGAUGGUAACGCAAGAGGAAGAGACGGCUAACUCUGUGCCAGCAGCCGCGGUAAUACAGAGGUCUCAAGCGUUGUUCGGAAUCACUGGGCGUAAAGGGUGCGUAGGUGGCGUGGUAAGUCAGAUGUGAAAGCCCGGGGCUCAACCUCGGAACUGCAUCCGAUACUGCCAUGCUAGAGUACUGGAGAGGUGACUAGAAUUCUCGGUGUAGCAGUGAAAUGCGUAGAUAUCGAGAGGAAUACCAAAGGCGUAGGCAGGUCACUGGACAGUUACUGACACUGAGGCACGAAGGCCAGGGGAGCGAACGGGAUUAGAUACCCUUGUAGUUC